rnacentral:rRNA from 1 species
GCUUUGUUCGGAAUUACUGGGCGUAAAGGGCGCGUAGGCGGAUGAUCUAGUCAGAGGUGAAAGCCCGGAAGC